rnacentral:rRNA from 1 species
AUUGAACGCUGGCGGCAGGCCUAACACAUGCAAGUCGAGCGGAUGAAGGGAGCUUGCUCCUGGAUUCAGCGGCGGACGGGUGAGUAAUGCCUAGGAAUCUGCCUGGUAGUGGGGGAUAACGUCCGGAAACGGGCGCUAAUACCGCAUACGUCCUGAGGGAGAAAGGGGGGGAUCUUCGGACCUCACGCUAUCAGAUGAGCCUAGGUCGGAUUAGCUAGUUGGUGGGGUAAAGGCCUACCAAGGCGACGAUCCGUAACUGGUCUGAGAGGAUGAUCAGUCACACUGGAACUGAGACACGGUCCAGACUCCUACGGGAGGCAGCAGUGGGGAAUAUUGGACAAAGGGCGAAAGCCUGAUCCAGCCAUGCCGCGUGUGUGAAGAAGGUCUUCGGAUUGUAAAGCACUUUUAGUUGGGAGGAAGGGCAGUAAGUUAAUACCUUGCUGUUUUGACGUUACCAACAGAAUAAGCCCCGGCUAACUUCGUG